rnacentral:rRNA from 1 species
GAUGAACGCUAGCGAUAGGCCUAACACAUGCAAGUCGAGGGGCAUCACAUGAAGUAGCAAUACGGAUGGUGGCGACCGGCGCACGGGUGAGUAACACGUAUGCAACCUGCCUUCAACAAGGGGAUAACCCGUUGAAAGACGGACUAAUACCCUAUAACACAGGGGUCCCGCAUGGGAAUAUUUGUUAAAGGACAACCGGUUGAAGAUGGGCAUGCGUUCCAUUAGCUAGUUGGCGGGGUAACGGCCCACCAAGGCAACGAUGGAUAGGGGAACUGAGAGGUUUAUCCCCCACACUGGUACUGAGACACGGACCAGACUCCUACGGGAGGCAGCAGUGAGGAAUAUUGGUCAAUGGACGCAAGUCUGAACCAGCCACGUCGCGUGAAGGAAGACGGCCCUACGGGUUGUAAACUUCUUUUAUACGGGGAAUAAAGUGCCCCACGCGUGGGGUUUUGCAUGUACCGUAUGAA